rnacentral:lncRNA from 1 species
UCCCCAAUACCUUGUAUCACAAGAGUGCCUCAUGCAUGCAAUUUCAACUAAAUGAAUUACUCUUAAACUGCUCAAAAAAGAUGCGCAUGAAAAAAAUGGUUUGGAAAAACAACCAAAUACAUCUGACAAUACAAUCAUCUUCCUGUAAUAAUUAACUCCAAAUAUAUUCAUAUACUACUCUUUUACCCAAAUGCAAUCAUCAAGGCAAAACCCAGUCUGAGAAGUGAUGUGCCUCAGUUGUGUACAAAAGACCUAACAAUCUACAACUAGCCUCUCCAGCAGAAGGGUUUUCAUCUUCCAUAUGGACAAACUACUUUCCUCAGAAGCACAAAAUACCUUCUCAUGAUCUCAACACAACAGUGAAUAAAGCAAAAGUGAAGCAAAGAAUCAAGUAGACAAGGAAGAGGAGAAACAAAAAUGAAAAUGCAUAUCAAUCACAAAGACCAUCUAAACAUAUAAACAUGAAAAGCAUAGUGCAUAUAU